rnacentral:ncRNA from 2 species
CUGUGUAUCACAUAGGGAACUCAUAUAGCCCUGCGGGCAUGGCGCAGGGCGUUUCUACGGGGCCGCCCACGGCCCUGCUAUGGGUGCUCCGCCGGAAAGC